ensembl:lncRNA
UUUGGGAACAGGGAGCAAACCAGCCUGUUUCCUUGGAAUUAUCUCAGAGGAGUGCAGUUCUCUAGGAAUGGAUAAAAAGCCUAGUGAUAUUCCAAUAGGCUGCUCUCUAGUGGCAGUCCAUGUCAGAUGGAAUAGCUGGCACUUUGUUUUCUGACAGUGGAUAUAUUUGAAAGAGUUGACAUGAGGUUUGAAUUUCACACUGCUCCUGAGGCCACAGGUGGCAGAGACCCACUCUGGGAGUUUGAGAACAGGCUGUGCUAUGGAAGCUGGGGAUGGACAGGGAACCCUGGUGUGCUGCGGUCCAUGGGGUCACAAAGAGUUGGACAUGACUGAGUGACUGAACUGAACUGUGGUUCAGAUGAGGUCAACAGAGACACCCAGGGAGGACUGAGAAACAUGCAGUACCCAGCAGUGAGCACCCAGUGGUAGUCUGCUGCUGCAAGAAUAUAUUACUUCUGGGAAGUGAUGGCCAGGAUCAUCCAUCCUCUUGACUUGACACUCUUUACACAGACCCUUUACUUGUCUGCAAAGAUGUAUCCUUUUUACUUCAUGUCUGCAAUUUUCCUGCCACCUGGCUGCUCAUGAAAAAGGAACAGAUUCUAGAACAUCACUUCCCAAGAAAACCUGCACUAUUAUCAACAGGACAAAUGAGUGACAACUUACUGAAAACAACACUGGAAGAAAGAAAAACAUAGAAGAGUAUGACAUGGAUGUCUUCCCCAUUGCAUAGAUGUUAGUCUCCAAGAAUCUCAUAUAGAAAACAGACUUUCAGGAAGGGCCAGCUGAGCAGAAGUGGA